AAGUGCAGAGGAUGGAACGGGCAGCCAUCGCCGGAUAGCCGCAAGAUUGAAUAGAGAUGCAGGAACUGUCAACCUACCUGUAAAA
rnacentral:ncRNA from 1 species